AUUGAACGCUGGCGGCAUGCCUUACACAUGCAAGUCGAACGGUAACAGGUCUUCGGAUGCUGACGAGUGGCGAACGGGUGAGUAAUACAUCGGAACGUGCCUAGUAGUGGGGGAUAACUACUCGAAAGAGUGGCUAAUACCGCAUGAGAUCUACGGAUGAAAGCAGGGGAUCGCAAGACCUUGUGCUACUAGAGCGGCCGAUGGCAGAUUAGGUAGUUGGUGGGAUAAAAGCUUACCAAGCCGACGAUCUGUAGCUGGUCUGGGAGGACGAUCAGCAACACUGGGACUGAGACACGGCCCAGACUCCUACGGGAGGCAGCAGUGGGGAAUUUUGGACAAUGGGCGCAAGCCUGAUCCAGCAAUGCCGCGUGCAGGAUGAAGGCCUUCGGGUUGUAAACUGCUUUUGUACGGAACGAAAAGCCCUGGGUUAAUACCCUGGGGUCAUGACGGUACCGUAAGAAUAAGCACCGGCUAACUACGUGCCAGCCGCCGCCGUAAGAC
rnacentral:rRNA from 1 species